CCCCACAGAACCUCUCAUCAGAUUCGGACACGUCACCAGAAUAACAAACACUUUCUUUUUGGUUCAACGUGGCAACGAAUCCGAUCCCGAAUGACUCAGUCCGAUCGGACUCCCCAAUCCCGUCAUUCCCCAAUCCACUUUUCGGGGAUGCGGACAAGUGCCAGCAGUGAUCGAAGCUGCUUUACCGGCUAGAUUGGCGGGGACUCGGCGGCGUUGGACGGCGACGGCAUGGUCCCGUUGGCGGUGAUCCUGAGGCGGCAGAUGUCGUGGGAAAGGAUCGAGAAGCCGGACGUACUCUACGAGGCGGCGAGAGAGAGCAAGAAGGGGGAGGACUUCACUCUCGUGAAGACCGAAUGCCAGCGAGUUCCCGGGCAUGGUGACACCACGGUCUCGGUUCCUGCGCUUUUUGAUGGUCACAACGGGUUUGAGCAGCUGCUAUAUACUCCAAGGAGAAUCUCUUGAACAAUGUUUUAAGUGUCAUUCCAUCAGAUCUUAGCAGGAAUGAGUGGAUUCAAGCGUUUCCAAGAGCUUUGGUUGUAGGAUUAGUUAAAACUGAUAAAAAUUUCAAGGAAAUAGGUAUGAGCGAAAUUAUGUAUUGACUUAUUGGAGCUUACAUAUGCUACAACUGAUUAGUUAUCUUCUACAGAAUAACUUCCAGAGUAUAACACUUGUGACCUAUGUGGAGCACCUUAGCUCGGCAGACUAAUGCUUACCAUGAAGAAACAUCUUCUAGAUUAUAAUUUCUCUACGAGGAACUGAUGCAGUAAUAUGCAUCAUUUUCUCAGCUGGUGUUUCUGCUUCAUUAACAUCUCUUCUUUAAUUUCCAUCUUCUGCAGCAUCCUUUUUUUCAGCGUUCUAGCUGACAGAUAUAUCCUUGGAUAUUCUUGCACACAAGUUAAUGACUUUUGUCAGAACUGGUUCUGGGAAGGCAUUGCUGGUGUUUCUGAGCUUGUAUCAAAUAGUACAGUGUACUAACUAGUAACAUGGUACAAGUUUAAUAGAUCAGCAUAAACAUAUUAGAUCCGUAUGGUAUUUGCUGUAGAAAUGGAAUUAUUAACAACAUACUAUAAUAUAUAUAUGUGCAAUUGUCAGCAGUCAGCAGCAUGGAAACAAACUAAGCAAUACAUCUUAUUCUUCAUUAUUCGCACUUUUCUAGCUUUGUGAUGCUUUUUCAAGUCUCUAUAUUUCGUUUUAUUCUUAGAGUUGUUUAUCUUUCUGUUAUAACAACAUAUGUUCCAAGACAAGAAGACAGAGCAGUUCUGCAUUCUAUUUAAUAUUGUAAGGCACCAAUGAGUUUCUUUUUCUUUUUUCUUUAUUAUUUUCCACCCCCUCUCUUGCUUUCAUUUUUUUUCAGUGUUUUUAUGCAUAAAUGAGCAAGAUGCUAUUACUGUUUAUUAUAUAAAGGGCAAAACAAAUUUCGUCUGUAAGCUUGUAAACCUAUGAAGCAUGAAUGCUACAAAAUGUUUGUCAUGUCAAUGCUGAUAAUCACAUGUGGAAUAUUUCAAAAGAAUAAAACUUUUGGAUACAUCUACUUUAUUUUAACAUUAAUGUGUUUUAUGCACUCCAAACAAUUAUAUCAAAUAUAAUAUCUCAGAACAUAAUGAACAUUGGUAGUUUUUGUGUAAUUUGAUUUUUCACUUAACAUUUUGUGUAUUUUUUAAUGUUCUCUAGAUGUUUGUCAUUAUUGAUUCAAGUUUCAUAGAUGAUGGCCAUGGAUUGUCUAGAUUAUCUAGUCUACCAUAGAAAUUGUAAAAAAAUGUCAGAUCAUAUACUUGUAUUAUCUGCUGUGUUCCUGAUAUAUGAGUCUUGAUUUUAUAAAAGAAAUUGUCAUGUCAGCAUGAGAGUGUGAUAUUAAGUUUCUAAGGAAAUUAUCUUGCCUUCAUCUAGUCUCUAUUUAAAUAUUUUCCAGUAUGGCCCUCUUUGGUGCUGGCCUGGUGGCUUGUGCCUAUCAAUCAAAAUUGUUAAGGUGUUGAAGAGGGAGAGGAGAAAAAUUAAAAACCAAAAGAUAAAUCCAUCAGAGAUUAACAAUCAAAAGAAUAUACCAGAAGUCGAUGCAAGAUUUAACGUGGUUCGAUAAUUUUCAUCUGCAUCCAUGGAGAAAACAAAAUUCUUCAAUAUAUGAGAUCAAUUACAAGACCCUUGAAUCAUCCCCACUCAAACAUGAAUUCUCUUGCACACCUCUCUCACAUAAACCUGAAGAAUUUUUCUCUCAAUCCUUUCUAGAAACCCUAAAGAAUACCUUAAGGAGCAAUCAAAGUGCCUUGACUUUUCCUCUCUAAGACUACUUCACUAAAGAAUUUCAAUUUAAUUAGGAUUCUACUAACUAAUUUGAAUACAAUUAAGACUCCUAAAAGUACUAACACAAAGUCUUGUAUACAAUGCCUCUUAUAUCACGGUACAGUUUGAGUUCAAUUUUCAGGAAGCUGUGCACACAGUGGGACUUCAAGAUGAUACUACAUCCAUUGUGGUUGACAUAUUACCAUCAGAGAAAAUAUCACCUUCUUUUCCACCCUUUUAGAGGCCAGGAACAAGUGUAUUUAAGAAUAUGUUCCGCUGAGGAUCUUCUGAAUCAUCAUUAUUUUCAGAUAGAGACUAUUCUGAAGCAGAUAUGGUUGAAGAAAUAUUUAUGGGUCCCCAGUCCUUGCUCAAAGGUUAGAUCUAGAAUAUCCAGUGUGUACCAUGUUCAAGAUGCUCAACUGUGCUGCUAUUUUCCAGUUGGAGAUGAAAGCAAGGGAAGGCGUUUCUGCGCAUGAUGGUUCAUCAAGACCUGGAAAAGUGCAUCCCCGGAAUGGUCUUUUCCUUUGCUCGAUUUGUCAAACCAAGAAGGAAGCCAUGGAAAGAAGACGUCCAUAGGGAGAUUGUGCCUACACAGAUAACUGAAUAAUCGCUGCAACUGUUGGUAUUAAUGGAUCCUACUUCUGGCACAACCUCAUCGGCAGUUCAACAGCUUAUCAAGUCAGCUCUCUAUGCCUCGGCAGCAUGCAAAAGAGCCAGUUCCCCUGCAGAUUGCGGUAACUGAGAACAUUUUGCUCCCUUUACUCUGAGGCCUUAGUAGAUUUGAGAUAACAGUGUGUUACUUUGUCAUCUUGUGUUCCAUAUAUUCGCAAGAAUAGAUCGGAUUAGCAAUUCUUUCCUGGUUAUCUGCCAUGUACAAGAACCGAUGCAGAGGUGUUAAAACGGUCAGUCUGUACUUUGCACCUUUAUUGCUUGCUUAAGCAAGCCUUGUUUUCUUAAUUCGCUAAACAUCGUGGUUAUUAUAUCUCUUUGUUGCUGGUCAGUUGAGAGUGCAAAAUUAACAAACAGGUAUUGCCUUGCUUAAAUGUCCCUCAUUUCUCAUGUCGACGUUUUUUUUUCAUCUUUUCGUUUUAUGGCCUCCAAAAAUAUUGAUCUGUCAAUAACAAACAGUCCUGCAGGAUAUCCAAUCUGUUAAUGGCAAAUUCGAUCAUCAGCCCGACCCGAUGUGUUGAAGCUAACCUGACCUGCUUUUGCAAGAGGCAUUUAACCGGAUUUGGAAUCCCAAAUUUUAUGUGCAAGAAGGUAUUUUUAUUGAGAUGCCUCUGGAACUCAAGUUAGUAAGAUAUUCCGAGGUCAAAAUAUAGUAUUAAACAUGAGAGAGCUUAUAUUAUGCAUGAAACUGUCUUAAUUCUAGUUCAGUAGCUCUUUAUGUGGGAUGUUGAUAUACUGA